GAACAGUUUCUCUCUGUUUUUCUUAGGGAAAUGUUUGUGCAGAUGUUUGUGCAACUUCUUCUUUCAGGAAUAACGUCUAUUUGUCAUAUUUCAUACGAACCUUCUGACAAGGUUUUUAGAGAAAAGCUGGUACAAUGUGUAAGUGGGAGCAAUAUGGACAUUAAAAGCAAUGAUGGAUAUCAUAAAGUGUGAAAACAUGGAGAGAUGCAUACAAUUGAAUGAGGCUGAAUCAGAGAAUCUAUCAGCAUCUAUACUCGGUGGAGGCCCAACUGGUGCAAUGCGGCGAGCGUCCACACGGUGGCAGUGUUGCACCGAGCAGCACCGGAGCUGCAGGGGAGCAAACGCCGUCCGAUAUGUGAAAUAACUGACAGAAAGCGCCCCCUAGAGGGGUGGGUGUUCAUUACAGCCAGAGCCUUACCAGUAACACAGCUGGCGGUUGGUUCCCACCAUGGCUCCUAAGGAAAGGUCACGGGGUCAUUGACAUUGGCAGUCAAGCUUAAGCCAUCUUCCUCAUGUGCCCGAUCCCGUGUCGUCUACGACCUUUAGAGCUAAGCCAAAUUAACUAGACCUUUCACCGAUGCAAAGCUACAAUUUGCCAGAUAAAAUGAGCAUAUCCAUGUGCUAGAUUAUAACUCUUAUUCGUUAUCAUUGCUUCUUGUGAACCUCUUUUAAUCAGAUAAUGGCCCCUGAGGUUUUUCUUGCACCUCCCCGGGGGAUUGUGGUUAGGAGAGGAUGUCAGGAGCCGACAUUAAGAAUGUGUAUAUAUAUUAGUGGUGGGCCGUUAUCGGCGGUAACGUGCUGCGUUAUGGUGAGGCGAUAAAGAAAAAAUAGCGCCGAUAAUCUAUUCUCAAAGUUGGGUUGGGAGCUGGGUCUAUACUACCCAAGCUAUGAUGAUUUUCACCUUGAUAUUCUAGCGCGGAUGUAUACCUACGAGCGCGGAUGUUUACCAAGCCAAAUUGCACUGUAGGGGGCGAGAACGAGACGUGCUAGCAUGGAUGCAGCUACGAAGUCACCGGGUUUGCUACGAAGUCACCGGGUUUGCUUCAGGGAACAUUUUAUUUUCAAGAAGCUUCCCAAUGGAAACCUCGACAAGACGAAGUUCUUCAAGUCUCAAAUACCACCUAAACGCAAAGCAUCGCUUAGCUAACGCGGAAGAUGCCGGGCCAAGCGCUGAUGUAGCGCAGGGGAAGAGUCGUCGUCAAACUACUAUGUUUGAGUGCAACCGAGGCGAGCCCGUCAGCACGGCUCUAUCGGCCAAGCUAACGAAUCUCCUCGCUCAGUGGAUUGCCACCAGCUGCCGGCCCAUCAGCGUGGUAGAAGAUGACGGGCUCGAGCUUGUUCUUCAGGCGGCCAAAGAUGAACGAUGAGCUGGGUUUCCAGGGUAACGCAGUGAUGAUCUAAGAUGUCGGCCAUGUGAUCUCUGGGUUUGAAUUCUGCCCGUCAUCGUCCUUCAACCGAACCACUAAAAAUAAUGCUCACUCUCUUAUUACGUGAAGUUAUCUUAUGAUUCACACUUGACAAAAAGGUACCUGAAAACAGGCAGUAGGAGGCAUCACCAUGGCGACGCUUUUACAAAUAGAAGGUGAGUACAGGUAUACUUAUAUUAACAUUAACGCAUGUAAACGUGUUCUGGUAGAAACCCAGAAUACAGACAUGACCCUGAGAGUCAGAACAACAUGUUUCUUUUAAUCCUUCAUCAUAUUCUCUGCAGCUUCUCUCUCAAUGGUACAGAAGUCUAAAUGUAUUCACAAAGAUCAAUGUUCAUAAUAGAAAAAUGAUUCAUUGCUGAUUACUUAUUAUUAGGAAUAUUUUUCCAGGAGAUAAAUAAAGUGAAAAUAUGUAAAAAGAAACAAAAAAACAAGAGGACACAAAUUUAUUUCAAAUUCCAUUGGCUUUAUUUAAUGUAUAUAUAUUUGUAUAUAUUUAUAUAUAUUUAUAUUUAUUAUAUAUAUAUAUACUUAGGUCACAACUUUUACUCAGUUGCUUGAUUAUCAUCUUUUCUUCAGCUUAAGUUCAAACGACAUGACACUAAGACCAAGGCAUUCCACAUCAUAUCUUACAAAAGAGUAAAGAAAACAACAUGACACACGCACACAGACACACACGCACACUCACGCAUACAUCAAUGUACCGGUGUCGUGGUUCUGUUUGCAGAAAGAACUGAAAAAUAAAAAGCGGACAAAGAGACGGAGGACAGAGUGAGAGGACGUGAGGAACCAGAUGAACCACCGGAGCCAAACUGGAGGAUUCUGUUGCAUAGAUUGAAGCAAACGGGAGGAUGUUUGAUCGAAACGCACAACAUGAGAGUGAAACACACACACACACACACACACAUACUUAGGGGGAAGCACAAGUUCUAUUUUGUUUCCCAAACAAACGGGCGUGAGCGACACCUUGCAGCCUGAAGACUUGAAGCUAAAUGCUAACGGUAGUUAUGCUAAUGGGGUGUUUGGCCGGUACAAAGGUCAACGGGUCCAAAGUCUUAGUUCAAACAACACGCAGCACAAACUACUUCAGAAAUAAAAUCAUGGACCUCGGGAGGGCGCUGGAGCAAAAGUCAGAAGGAUUCAUCAUCUGGGGAACACGAAUGUCUCCACAAACGCGACAAUACGUCAGAUUGCUGCAGAUGUUUGAGUGUGAAUUAAAGAAAUAAUUUCACUGGUUUGACAGUAAGUACAUACAGACGGUUGAUUUAAGAGGCUGCGUGGUCCCUGUGAACGUCUCCACGCACUUCAACGAGACGGCGGCCAUUUCUACAAAAAACGUCAAUUUUAACGCGCAUUUAACAUGUUCUGUUGUGCAGAUAUAUCAUUUGAAGAACGCUGCCGUGUUACAAACUGACUUGACUUGUCUGAAUCAAACGCUUUGUUAUCGCGCACUUUUCUUUAAAUACUCGGUUACGACAUUCUAUGAAAAAGAGAUAUGACAGUUUACUUAUUACCAUGGUGAGCAAGCAUGUGAGGAUGUUUAUUUCUUGUUUUUUGUGCUGUUUUAGACGUUGACUUCUCGAGGAGAUAAACAUUUAAUUAUUAAUUAGUUUUAACACCUGAGAGGGGAAACGUGUUUUUAUACUGUAUUUUUAAGCCAAAAUGGAACUUUUUCUGUCAAAUGAGAGGAUUUGUUGCUUUCAUUCUUCACGCAUGAAGAUAGACUGAAUGUUUUAGUUGCUGCUAUGUGCACUACCGGGGCAAGAUGUCCAAUCAGCCAACAUAUUGAUACGUGUACGGAUUGAUCUGUGACUAAGAAAACCAAAUAAACUCUGUUUUCCUAAAACCAGGAAGCAGCAGAGACUCUCUGCAGGAUGAUGGAUCACAGACAUCAAUGGAUGUGAUUGGUUAGAUGGUGACACGUGAUGACCUGAAGGUUUCAGGCCUGAUGUCUCCUCCUCCUCAGGUGAGCGAGUGAUGAGUUCAGGACAAUCAGUAAAUGUCAGAGUUUGUCCGUGCGCGUGUGUGUGUGUGUGUGUGUGUGUGUGUGUGUGUACGGUAGGAUGCAACUGUGAUGGAUGUUAUUCAGUUUCUGAAUAAAUGAGACAAUGAAAACAAAAGAAAAGAAGAAUCUUCCAUUUUUCAUCAAUCCAUCCAUCAGAAGUCACACGGUUUUAAUUUCCUCAGAGUGUUUCACCUCACAGUGUGAGUACAGAAGCGUCUGUGUGUGUCUGUGUGUGUGCAUGUGUGCAAUGUUGCACGUGUUUGGGGGCGAGUAUUUGUGAUUCAUUUGGUAAAAACAGGUCCACAUUUUUGGGAUGUUUCAUUUCAUACUAAAACAUGCAGAACACAGAACAUUGAACACGUAUACUUAACAGUUAGUUUUAUCCAAAUGCAGUUUCUCUUUUUGUUUUUUAUAUAUAUAUGUGUAUAUAUACACACAUAUUUUUAUAUAUAUAUAUAUAUAUAUAUAUAUAUAUAUAUAUAUAUAUAUAUAUAUACACACACACGUUUUCGCACAGAGUGGCUUUAGGCUACACAGAACACGACAGAACCAAUCGCACCAAUCGCAUGUUGGACAUAUUGCUUUAAACCACCAAAUUGUUGUAUAUAUGUCAUGCAUGCCACAUAGAUGAUAUUAUGUUUAUACAAAAAUAACACCAACAGCCUAUUACUGUGUAUCAGAGUAAUUACAGAAAACAAAUCUUUUUUCAGUCUUUUUUGCAGUUAAGUUCAACUGAGAAGCAAUAUACAUAUACACAUCGAUGUAUUUGUAUCCAAUAUACACACGCACGUGUAAUUAUACUAGAUAUAAAUACAUAGACAUGAUAGAUAUAUAUAUGUUGAGUGGUUAUGACUUUUUCAACUGUGAUAUUUCAGUUUGUUUUAAACUUUUUUCCCCUCCUUUUUCUGGGAUUGUUGAAGCGGACGUGACAGUUCUCCAAAGAGUCGCUUAAGAUCCGACAACAGGAAGCUGUUCUGAAGAAAAGAGGCGGCGCGGUCCAAAACAUCUGGAUGAGAGACGAGAGUCCCGCCUGCACAUGGCGGCCCGGUACUGUGAGGGCGACUCACCCGAGGGACAAUCUUAUCCAGGUGGGAGGACAUGGGGUGGGGGGGGAGGGGGGUGUGUGACUGCAAACUUUAUAAAAACAAAAGAACAACACUUUUGCAGAACAUCCUUAACGCUUUGCUGGGUGACGAUUGGCUGAUUGCUGCCCCUCCCAUUACCUGUCAGGCAGCAGGUACCCCGCACCUGUUACGUCGUACCUGCCGCAGGAGCACAGCUGUUCAUCAGUUCAACCAAGAACAAAAACCAACGCGUCACCCACUGGAGCCAACGGGCGCACGGCGGGAAGAGGAAGUGAUGUCACGGCGGCGCUCUUUUCCAGGAAGGCUUCCGAAGCCGGCGGCGGUGGAAGGAUGUCAAUGACUCGCGGGCUCCGCCUCCUUUAAAUGUCCCUAUUUCAUGUCUAAAUAAAAGAAAUGUGGCGUC